GGCCGCCUGGCGAAAUGGUAUCGCGUCUGACUACGAGUUGUAUCUAUCAGGAGAUUGCAGGUUCGAGCCCUGCGGUGGUCA
rnacentral:tRNA from 1 species